GGACAAAUGAAAUGGUAGAGCUGCACAGUCAUUUAUAAUCAAUGGGCGGAGUAAGUUGAGGAGCAAGUUAAGAUUCACUGUCACGUUGCAAACGCUCAUUGUGGCAUAGCAUACACGUUGCCUGAAGAGGUAGCUAGCUUGCUGCUAGAGAGAUUCCUCAUUUCAAAGGUGGACAGGCAUCAUCCUUGGAUUUUUUGCUAACCACUGCAAGGUCUAGCCCAACAGUCUUGGCUUAACAUUAGCGGCGUGGUGCUGUAUCUCGUUACAACUGCAUCCAAAAAUUGAUUAUAACCCACAAACUACUUCAUUGCGUCUCUGGGCGACCAGCAUUGUGUUUAUGUCUUUGUUUUACGAAAACGGUGAGUACCCGGACGACAGGAGCCACGGAUGGGAAAGAGCUGUCGUGCAGCUGUCGGAACCUGUGUGGAGGGAACUUAGUCCACAAGCAACGAGCCUGGAGCCUCAGUGGCAACACCUUUUUCAUGUCAGAGACCGAGUCCUCUUGCAGUCGUUUAUGUCAUCCCCCCCUCUCCAGGCAGACAAUACCAAGAAUUGCCAAUUCAAGAUCUUUUCGUCUUGCUGAUAGUACCAACUCAAGGCCAAGAUGUCUGUCAACGUCAACCGCAGCGUGUCAGACCAGUUCUACCGCUACAAAAUGCCCCGUCUGAUUGCUAAGGUGGAAGGCAAGGGUAAUGGAAUAAAAACUGUCAUAGUCAACAUGGUUGAUGUCGCCAAGGCUUUGAACAGGCCACCGACGUAUCCCACCAAGUUUUUUGGUUGUGAGUUGGGCGCUCAGACCCAGUUUGAUUCUAAGAAUGACCGUUACAUUGUCAACGGAUCCCACGAGGCGAACAAGCUGCAAGACAUGUUGGACGGAUUUAUCCGGAAAUUUGUGUUGUGCCCAGAGUGUGAUAAUCCUGAAACAGACCUGCACAUCAAUCCUAAGAAGCAAACCAUUGGGAACUCCUGCAAGGCCUGUGGCUACCGCGGCAUGCUGGACACACGACACAAGCUCUGCACCUUUAUUCUGAAGAAUCCGCCAGAGAAUGAGAGUGGGUCUGUGAAGAAAGAGAAGGAAAAGAAAAACCGCAAGAAGGACAAAGAGAACGGCUCUGGUGGAGAGGCAGCAAACCGUGACGACAUUGAUGCACCUGACGCAGUGGAUGGGGAUGAUGACGAUGAGGACUGGGCAGAGGAGACCACCGAGGAGGCCCAGCGCCGGCGUAUGGAGGAGAUCAGCGAGCACGCCAAGAACCUCACCCUCAGCGAGGACCUGGAGAAGACCCUGGAGGAGCGGGUCAACAUGUUCUACAACUUCGUCAAGCAAAAGAAGGAGGAGGGAGUGAUCGACUCUGCCGAUAAGGACAUCCUGGCUGAGGCGGAGCGGCUGGACGUCAAGGCCAUGGGCCCCCUCAUCCUCAGCGAGCUGCUCUUCGACCAGAACAUCCGUGAGCAAAUCAAGAAGUACAAGCGGCACUUCCUCCGUUUCUGCCACAACAACAAGAAGGCCCAGAAGUACCUGCUGGGUGGCUUUGAGUGUCUGGUGAAACUCUACCAGAUCCAGCUGCUCCCACGCGUCCCCAUCAUCCUCAAGGACCUGUACGACGCAGACAUGCUCGAGGAGGAUGUCAUCCUCGCCUGGGCCGAGAAGAGAAUGGGAGUGGGUCUGUGAAGAAAGAGAAGGAAAAGAAAAACCGCAAGAAGGACAAAGAGAACGGCUCUGGUGGAGAGGCAGCAAACCGUGACGACAUUGAUGCACCUGACGCAGUGAGAAUGAGAGUGGGUCUGUGAAGAAAGAGAAGGAAAAUAAAAACCGCAAGAAGGACAAAGAGAAUGGCUCUGGUGGAGAGGCAGCAAACCGUGACGACAUUGAUGCACCUGACGCAGUGAGAAUGAGAGUGGGUCUGUGAAGAAAGAGAAGGAAAAUAAAAACCGCAAGAAGGACAAAGAGAAUGGCUCUGGUGGAGAGGCAGCAAACCGUGACGACAUUGAUGCACCUGACGCAGUGAGAAUGAGAGUGGGUCUGUGAAGAAAGAGAAGGAAAAUAAAAACCGCAAGAAGGACAAAGAGAAUGGCUCUGGUGGAGAGGCAGCAAACCGUGACGACAUUGAUGCACCUGACGCAGUGAGAAUGAGAGUGGGUCUGUGAAGAAAGAGAAGGAAAAUAAAAACCGCAAGAAGGACAAAGAGAAUGGCUCUGGUGGAGAGGCAGCAAACCGUGACGACAUUGAUGCACCUGACGCAGUGUUCUGCCACAACAACAAGGCCCAGAAGUACCUGCUUGGGUGGCUUUGAGUGUCUGGUGAAACUCCACCAGAGCCAGCUGCUCCCAUGCGUCCCCAUCAUCCUCAAGGACCUGUACGACGCAGACAUGCUCGAGGAGGAUGUCAUCCUCGCCUGGGCCGAGAAGAGAAUGAGAGCGGGUCUGUGAAGAAAGAGAAGGAAAA